rnacentral:rRNA from 1 species
CAGGCUUAACACAUGCAAGUCGAGGGGCAGCAUGGUCUUAUCUUGCUAAGACUGAUGGCGACCGGCGCACGGGUGAGUAACACGUAUCCAACCUGCCGUCUACUCUUGGACAGCCUUCUGAAAGGAAGAUUAAUACAAGAUGGCAUCAUGAGUCCGCAUGUUCACAUGAUUAAAGGUAUUCCGGUAGACGAUGGGGAUGCGUUCCAUUAGAUAGUAGGCGGGGUAACGGCCCACCUAGUCUUCGAUGGAUAGGGGUUCUGAGAGGAAGGUCCCCCACAUUGGAACUGAGACACGGUCCAAACUCCUACGGGAGGCAGCAGUGAGGAAUAUUGGUCAAUGGGCGAGAGCCUGAACCAGCCAAGUAGCGUGAAGGAUGACUGCCCUAUGGGUUGUAAACUUCUUUUAUAAAGGAAUAAAGUCGGGUAUGCAUACCCGUUUGCAUGUACUUUAUGAAUAAGGAUCGGCUAACUCCGUGCCAGCAGCCGCGGUAAUACGGAGGAUCCGAGCGUUAUCCGGAUUUAUUGGGUUUAAAGGGAGCGUAGAUGGAUGUUUAAGUCAGUUGUGAAAGUUUGCGGCUCAACCGUAAAAUUGCAGUUGAUACUGGAUAUCUUGAGUGCAGUUGAGGCAGGCGGAAUUCGUGGUGUAGCGGUGAAAUGCUUAGAUAUCACGAAGAACUCCGAUUGCGAAGGCAGCCUGCUAAGCUGCAACUGACAUUGAGGCUCGAAAGUGUGGGUAUCAAACAGGAUUAGAUACCCUGGUAGUCCACACGGUAAACGAUGAAUACUCGCUGUUUGCGAUAUACUGCAAGCGGCCAAGCGAAAGCGUUAAGUAUUCCACCUGGGGAGUACGCCGGCAACGGUGAAACUCAAAGGAAUUGACGGGGGCCCGCACAAGCGGAGGAACAUGUGGUUUAAUUCGAUGAUACGCGAGGAACCUUACCCGGGCUUAAAUUGCAGAUGAAUUACGGUGAAAGCCGUAAGCCGCAAGGUAUCUGUGAAGGUGCUGCAUGGUUGUCGUCAGCUCGUGCCGUGAGGUGUCGGCUUAAGUGCCAUAACGAGCGCAACCCUUGUUGUCAGUUACUAACAGGUUCCGCUGAGGACUCUGACAAGACUGCCAUCGUAAGAUGUGAGGAAGGUGGGGAUGACGUCAAAUCAGCACGGCCCUUACGUCCGGGGCUACACACGUGUUACAAUGGGGGGUACAGAGGGCCGCUACCACGCGAGUGGAUGCCAAUCCCCAAAACCUCUCUCAGUUCGGACUGGAGUCUGCAACCCGACUCCACGAAGCUGGAUUCGCUAGUAAUCGCGCAUCAGCCACGGCGCGGUGAAUACGUUCCCGGGCCUUGUACACACCGCCCGUCAAGCCAUGGGAGCCGGGGGUACCUGAAGUGCGUAACCGCGAGGAGCGCCCUAGGGUAAAACUGGUGACUG